AUUGAACGCUGGCGGCAGGCCUAACACAUGCAAGUCGAGCGAGCGGCUGACGGGUGAGUAAUGUAUGGGGACUGCCCGAUAGAGGGGGAUCACCACUGGAAACGGUGGCUAAUACCGCAUACUAUCGGAUAACCCAUAUGUGAUUAGCUAGUAGGUGGGGUAAAGGCUCACCUAGGAGACGAACUCUAGCUGUUCUGUGAGGUUGAUCAGCCACACUGGGACUGAGAGACGGUCCAUACUCGUACGGAGGCAGCAGUGGGGAAUAUUGCACAGUGGGCGAAAGCCUGAUUCAGCCAUGCCGCGUGUAUGAAGAAGGCCUUUGGGUUGUAAAGUACUUUCAGCGGGGAGGCGUUACCCACAGAAGAAGCACCGGCUAACGCCGUGCCAGCAGCCGCGGUAAUUC
rnacentral:rRNA from 1 species